CCGUCACGAGGCCCCCGCUUAGACUCGUUGAUCCGAAUUCACUCCCCUCUCUGUUCACACAGCUCCCACUGCACAGCGUCCGCUCCAAACGUGCCCGGUCCGGAUUCACCCCACACGUCACCGUGCACACAGCAGCGCCUGGGCCGAGGCGCAGCCUCCGCCCCUGGAGGUGUUUAAGACCCGAGCCUCGCCUGUGUGGAGCAGGGCGGCCCCCCCGGGCGCACGCAGAGCCCGACGCCGGACGGCGGCCCGCACGCGGCGCCCGCAGUCGGGCACGUUUGCUCGGAAGCGGUGCGCGGAGACGCGGGUCCCGGACGGAGCGUGCCCACCCCACGUCGGUGUGCACGGAGAGGCCCACGCACCGCCCCGGUGUGGAGACGCGGGAGGAAGCCCCGCCGCCUACACCUGCCCCACCUCCUGCGGCGAUGAGUUCCCCGCGUUAACAACGCGCUGCCCUCCUUACUUCCAAACCUGUCCCCUGCUCCCGGCAGCGCGCCUCCUUCUUCCAGCGCUCCUGGACUCACGCUCCACGGCCUCCGUGGUUUGACAGACCUCUUCCUCUCCCCCCAGCUGAAGAGCUGCUCCGGGCCUGGUCACCUUCGCUGCCCUUCUCUGCGCUUUUUCUAAUCCCACGCCCUGCUUUGCGCAAGGCGGACACCAGCGCGCGCGGUAUCCGGGACGUGGGCGCCCCGUGGAGGGGUGCAGCGGCCCGACCGCAGCCAACACGUCGGGCCUGGUCGGGCCGCGGAGCCGGGGUGCAACGCCUCCGGGCUCUCUCCCCCGAGCCGUAACAGCUAGUUGGGACCCGGCGCUGCGCACGGGUAAUUGCGGGUAUCCCCCCCCGUGCAGCACCUUGCCCUCGAUGCAGUUCACCGGCCGGUUUUUGCCCCCUCGCUUAGCUGGGCGAGCUCUUUCUGCGGCUCCUCUCUGCCUACGCGAGAGCCGGCAGCCUGGACAGCGCCAUCCGCGCACGUGGAGAUUUCACGGGCCCGUUUCCAGCUCCUGGAGGAAAACGUGUCUUCUCGUAUGCCGGACUCUGUACUCCCUGGUCGGUCAGGGAGCUCUUCUUCGCGCCCGUUCUGGUCUGAAUUCGGUAUUGCAGGUGUUAACGACCCUCUCUUCUCUCUAGCAGUCUUGAUGUCCCACCAGUCCAGGCAGCCUUUGUUCUGCCCACCCGUCGGCUGCUCCUGGGCACAAAGCUCCUCUCUCACGGCCCUGCGGAGUGCUUUGAACUCCUUGCAAUGACGUUCUUUUGGUUUGUGCUUCCAUCUUGAACUGAAUAAAGCAGCCCCUGGCGUGGUACUAAA